rnacentral:sRNA from 1 species
GCUCUUGCCAGAAAUAUCGCCGAUUUAGGCAGGGCUUAGUAGGGCUCUCGAAAGGCCCUGAGGCGAAAAGGAG